GAUAUAGCUCAGUGGUAGAGCACUUGCCUAGCAUGUGCAAGGACCUGGUUUUGAUUCCCAGUGUC
rnacentral:tRNA from 1 species